AGCGGUAGCAUGGUUAGUAGCAAUACUAACUGAUGACAAGCGGCGGACGGGUGAGGAAUACGUAGGAACCUACCCUCAAGCGGGGGACAACUAAGGGAAACUUUAGCUAAUACCGCAUAAUCUCGAAAGAGCAAAGCUGCCCGCAAGGGUGGCACUUGAGGAGGGGCCUGCGUCCGAUUAGCUAGUUGGUGAGGUAAUGGCUCACCAAGGCGAUGAUCGGUAACUGGUCUGAGAGGACGACCAGUCACACUGGGACUGAGACACGGCCCAGACUCCUACGGGAGGCAGCAGUGGGGAAUAUUGGACAAUGGGGGCAACCCUGAUCCAGCGAUGCCGCGUGGGUGAAGAAGGCCUUCGGGUUGUAAAGCCCUUUAGGUUGGGAAGAAGGGUAUCCGGCGAAUAACCGGGUAUUUUGACUGUACCGACAGAAUAAGCACCGGCAAACUCUGUGCCAGCAGCCGCGGUAAUACAGAGGGUGCGAGCGUUAAUCGGAUUUACUGGGCGUAAAGGGCGCGUAGGCGGUAAGAUGUGUGUGAUGUGAAAGCCCCGGGCUUAACCUGGGAAAGUGCAUCGCA
rnacentral:rRNA from 1 species